rnacentral:rRNA from 1 species
UAAGACGAACCGUACGAACGUUAUUCGGAAUCACUGGGCUUAAAGGGUGCGUAGGCGGCGCGGAAAGUUGGGUGUGAAAUCCCUCGGCUCAACCGAGGAACUGCGCCCAAAACUACCGUGCUCGAGGGAGACAGAGGUGAGCGGAACUUAGGGUGGAGCGGUGAAAUGCGUUGAUAUCCUAAGGAACACCUGUGGCGAAAGCGGCUUACUGGGUCUUUUCUGACGCUGAGGCGCGAAAGCUAGGGGAGCGAACAG